CUGACUCAGGGAGGUAGCGACAAGAAAUAACGAUGGCGGGCUCGAUCGAGUCUGUUCAUUGGAAUGAGGAUAACUUACACCCCUUCUCGAGGAUCCAUUGGAGGGCAAGUCUGGUGCCAGCAGCCGCGGUAAUUCCAGCUCCAAUAGCGUAUACUAAAGUUGUUGCAGUUAAAAAGCUCGUAGUCGAAUUCGGACCCGACUUGCGGAAUGGCUUCCAAGCCUUUAGCGAGCCGGGUUCAAUUUUGCCGCCAGAUGGUUUGCUUAUUAGUGAACCAACAAGGCGGCAUCUUUUACUGUGAACAAAAUAGAGUGUUCAUGGCAGGCCUUUUGUAGGGCUUAGAUACCUCAGCAUGGAAUAAUAGAAUAGGACUUCCGGUUCUAUUUUGUUGGUUUUUGGAGCCGAAGUAAUGAUUAAUAGGGAUAGUUGGGGGCACUCGUACUCCGUUGUCAGAGGUGAAAUUCUUGGAUUUACGGAAGACGAACAACUGCGAAAGCAUCUGCCAAGGAUG
rnacentral:rRNA from 1 species